rnacentral:misc_RNA from 1 species
AAAGUCGUAACAAGGUCUCCGUAGGUGAACCUGCGGAGGGAUCAUUCACAUGAUUUACUUUAUCUUAAACAAAAACCUGUGAACUAUAAAAACUAUUCGUGUUUAUUCAUUUAAACAUUGUCAUUCGAUUGAACAUAAGAUAGUUGGCUUGUUUUUAUUUAUAAAAACUUUCUCAGCUUUGAUUUCUUUAUAUGAUUAAACAUCAUAUAAGAAUCAUCCAUAAAACAUAGAAACAACUCUAUGCCCUGGAUAUCUUGGUUCUC